AUAUAUAUAAAUCAAUUUUUCUCAUUAAUAAUCUUUCUUAAACAAAAAUUAUAAAUU
rnacentral:tRNA from 1 species